rnacentral:misc_RNA from 1 species
AACCAUCCUUGCCAAAAGCCAGAAUAGACAUCCUAUGCUGUGUUUACCCUUAUUAUUUGCUGGGAUCCCAAUAUCAACAUACCGCAUUGGUGAAUCAGUGUCACAAAAGGCAAUUGUAGGAAUGUUUCCAAGGGCAGCUUCCUUGAUGGGCUGAUGAUCUGUUCUAGGAUCAGUCAGUAUCAGAAGACGCGGCUCAUUGAAUGAGGUCUGAAGCUGGUUAGUGAAGGUUCCAGGGGUGUGCCUCCCGGCUAUAGCAUGUGCACCAGUGUGUUGAGCGAACUUUAAGACAGCCCUCUGACCAUAAGGUCUUGCAGACUGAACAAUGAUGUCUUGUGGAUUCUCAAUACCAACGAUGACUCUAGCAGCCAGCUGAAGUUUCUCCCAU